rnacentral:rRNA from 1 species
GCAGUGGGUACGGGCAGACUAGAGUGCGGUAGGGGAGAUUGGAAUUCCUGGUGUAGCGGUGGAAUGCGCAGAUAUCAGGAGGAACACCGAUGGCGAAGGCAGAUCUCUGGGCCGUAACUGACGCUGAGGAGCGAAAGGGUGGGGAGCAAACAGGCUUAGAUACCCUGGUAGUCCACCCCGUAAACGUUGGGAACUAGUUGUGGGGACCAUUCCACGGUUUCCGUGACGCAGCUAACGCAUUAAGUUCCCCGCCUGGGGAGUACGGCCGCAAGGCUAAAACUCAAAGGAAUUGACGGGGACCCGCACAAGCGGCGGAGCAUGCGGAUUAAUUCGAUGCAACGCGAAGAACCUUACCAAGGCUUGACAUAUACGAGAACGGGCCAGAAAUGGUCAACUCUUUGGACACUCGUAAACAGGUGGUGCAUGGUUGUCGUCAGCUCGUGUCGUGAGAUGUUGGGUUAAGUCCCGCAACGAGCGCAACCCUCGUUCUAUGUUGCCAGCACGUAAUGGUGGGAACUCAUGGGAUACUGCCGGGGUCAACUCGGAGGAAGGUGGGGAUGACGUCAAAUCAUCAUGCCCCUUAUGUCUUGGGCUUCACGCAUGCUACAAUGGCCGGUACAAAGGGCUGCAAUACCGUAAGGUGGAGCGAAUCCCAAAAAGCCGGUCCCAGUUCGGAUUGAGGUCUGCAACUCGACCUCAUGAAGUCGGAGUCGCUAGUAAUCGCAGAUCAGCAACGCUGCGGUGAAUACGUUCCCGGGUCUUGUACACACCGCCCGUCAAGUCAUGAAAGUCGGUAACACCUGAAGCCGGUGGCCCAACCCCUGUGGAGGGAGCCUCGAAGUGUCGAAGCUAA